AUUCCAUGCUGUGGACAUUUUUUCAACAAAGUCUUGAAUCUCUCCCCAAGCCUCAUAAAUGGAUUCUGACUCUUUCUGCUUAAAGCUUGUAAUCUCAUCCUUCAACUU